CACUCUGGUGGCUUAGUGGUUAGAGCGUCCACCACAGAUGUGGGAGGUCAUGGGUUUUAUCCCCAGUUGAGUCA